AUAUAACUAAGCGGAGGAAAAGAAACUAACCAGGAUUCCCCUAGUAACGGCGAGUGAAGCGGGAAGAGCUCAACUUGAAAAUCGGUGUGACUUGUCACUCUGAAUUGUAGUCUAUAGAAGCUGUCAUCAGUAAUGAUUGCGGGAUAAGUCUCUUGGAAUAGGGCAUCAUAGAGGGUGAGAAUCCCGUCCUGUGCCCGUGAUCUAUUACGUACGAUCGGCUUUCAACGAGUCGAGUUGCUUGGGAUUGCAGCUCAAAUUGGGUGGUAAAUUCCAUCUAAAGCUAAAUAUUGGCGAGAGACCGAUAGCGCACAAGUA
rnacentral:rRNA from 1 species